CGCACCACAGGAUCCCAUCUCCCCAUACUCCACUCUCUCCACUUUCCACACUCUCUCCUUCCCUCCAGCCCUCUCCCUCUCUCUCCCUCUCUCUUUCCUCUCUCUCACUCUCUCUCCCUCUCUCUCUCACUCUCUCUCACCCUCUCUCUCUUCCCGCUCUCUCUCUCACUCUCUCUCCCUCUCUCUCCCUCUCUAACUCUUUCCCUCUCUCUCUCACUCUACCUCCCGCUCUCUCUCUCACUCUCUCUCCCUCUAUCUCCCCUCUCUCUCUUUACUUGUCUCCCUCUCUCUCUCAUCUGGCUGUUCCUCUCUUUCUCUCAAUCUGUCCCUCAUCAUCUUUCUGGCACUCUUCCUCUCUCCUUGUCUCUCUUUCCCUCUACAUCUACAUCUCUGUCUGUCUCUCUUCCUCUCUCCUUGUCUCUCUUUCCCUCCACAUCUCUGCCUGUCUCUCUUCCUCUCUUUCCCUCCACAUCUCUGUCUGUCUCUCUUCCUCUCUCCUUGUCUCUCUUUCCCUCCACAUCUCUGCCUGUCUCUCUUCCUCUCCUUAUCUCUCUUUCCCUCCACAUCUCUGCCUGUCUCUCUUCCUCUCUCUCUCUCUCUUUCCCUCCACAUCUCUCUCUCUCUCUCUCUCACUCUCCCUCUCUCUCCUGUCUAGUUCACUCUCUAUAUAUCUCUCUCUUUCCCUCUGCAUCUCUCUCUCUCUCUCUCCUGUCUAGUUCAGUCUUUAUAUCUCUCUCUCUUUCUCCCUCCCUCUCCCUCUAUCUCUCUCUCUAUUCCCAUCUCUCUGCUGCAUCCCGUCACGUUGAAUAACCGUGUGCUGCUAUACCACCUUCCCCUCAUACAACAACACAACAACACAACAACACAACAACAUGCAUUUCAUUGAAAAAGUUGCAUUUUCAUUUGGGAACCUUGAUCACUGUAGUUCAGUAAAAAGGAAGGCAAUGCAAUGACUGUUCCAGCCUAAGGUAGCCAAACAGGAUAACCAGUCAUUCCCAGUUAACUGUGGUGAAUGAGGAAAGCACAGGGCAGCAAUGAGAUGCAUGUUUAGGCC
rnacentral:lncRNA from 1 species